rnacentral:tRNA from 1 species
GGUGCUAUAGUGUAGUGGUCAUCACUCGGGAUUUUGACCGUAUGUUCCCGGAACCCAGGUUCGAACCCUGGUAGCACCU